AUUGAACGCUGGCGGCAGGCCUAACACAUGCAAGUCGAGCGGUAGAGAGAAGCUUGCUUCUCUUGAGAGCGGCGGACGGGUGAGUAAUGCCUCGGAACGUACCUUUUAGUGGGGGAUAACUAUCCGAAAGGAUGGCUAAUACCGCAUACGCCCUGAGGGGGAAAGCAGGGGAUCGCAAGACCUUGCGCUAAUAGAGCGGCCGAUGUUCGAUUAGCUAGUUGGUGAGGUAAAGGCUCACCAAGGCGACGAUCGAUAGCUGGUCUGAGAGGAUGAUCAGCCACACUGGAACUGAGACACGGUCCAGACUCCUACGGGAGGCAGCAGUGGGGAAUUUUGGACAAUGGGGGCAACCCUGAUCCAGCCAUUCCGCGUGAGUGAAGAAGGCCUUCGGGUUGUAAAGCUCUUUCGGCAGGAACGAAACGGUAGUUACUAAUACUAGCUGCUAAUGACGGUACCUGAAGAAGAAGCACCGGCUAACUACGUG
rnacentral:rRNA from 1 species